GACAGAGGGUGCAAACGUUGUUCGGAAUUACUGGGCGUAAAGCGUGUGUAGGCGGUUUGGUAAGUCGGAUGUGAAAGCCCCGGGCUCAACCCGGGAAGUGCAUUCGAUACUGCCAAGCUAGAGUAUCGGAGAGGUUGGUGGAAUUCUCGGUGUAGAGGUGAAAUUCGUAGAUAUCGAGAGGAACACCGGCGGCGAAGGCGGCCAACUGGACGAAUACUGACGCUAAGACACGAAAGCGUGGGGAGCAAACAGG
rnacentral:rRNA from 1 species